GUGAUCUCAUGUUUUUACUUGGUGCAUUAAAGCCUUUAUGAUGUCAUGUCAGAAACUGCAGAUGCCGUAAUUUGGUGUCUGUUGAUUUUGUCAUAAGAAUGGAGAAUCAUGCACAACUCAUGAAAUUAAAUCAAAAGCCAUACUCCCCCAGGAAUCACAACAAAGAUGUCACUCAUCAUCACAGUUGCAUCAGAGCCGUACUUGAGCAGUACUAUAGUGCCAGUGACGAAGUUCAAGACAUGAUAUGGGAGCCAUACCCUGCACAUUACAGGAGUCAAGUCCAUGUCCUGUCAACUAUUCUUCCAAAACAACAGUCAGAAGUGGCAAAACACCAGUAAUGUUUCAAGGGAAAGGUGUCUUUGUCAAGACAAGAUGGGUUUUCCCCUUUCAGCAGUGAUGGACAAAUGAAGCUCCUGUGAGUCACCGAACAAUUGGGCCAGUUGUUUUGAAAAUGGCUUCAAUAGUUUAAUCAUCUGCAACAGUGACCUUUCAUGGCGAAAGCAAGGCUGCAGUGGUUUUAAAAAAAAUCUGUGAAGAAACUUUCUCUCACUCACAC